GUACCAGGAAUGGAGAUGUAUGGAGUUGGCCACUAAUGGAAGACCGUCGCUAGAAUAAAGGAAGUCAUCAACAGGCGGGUUUGCAGUAAAGGAGGGACCCAAGAUGAAUCUAGUAGAGUCCGUUUCAAGAUAUGAUUUAAGUAAAGUAUAAUCCAGCGAAGGAUGAGUAGGUAAAGGCGAAAGCGGCGCCAUUACUUGAAGCAAAAGGAAAUUAAGGGAGAAAAGAAUGAGCAGAAGCUACGAACAAAGGAUGGAGAACAGAGAAGACGAAGAAGAAAUAAAGAGAAGCAAAUGAGAGGUUUCAUCGGAGAAGACAAGGAAGAAACAAAAAGGGAACAGAAAAAACAAAAGGAAUGAAAAGCUUGGUGAAGAAGAAAAGGCCGUCGCGUCGAACCGUCGCAUCGAAACGAGUUCUGAGAGCAGCUAUAAUGAUGAAUAGACGGCGGUAAUGUGAGACCCUAGAUAGUCCUAUAUAUGAGUUAUAAUAGGGCUAAACUCUUAACUGGGCUUAAGCAUUUUGGGUGGUGUCAAGGCCCAAGAGGUUAAGAGAGUUAAGCGUGUUAGGAUGGGAGUAGUCCUAGGAUAGGUGACCCCCUAGGAAGUUGGGGCGUCACAGAUGGUAUCAGAGCCAAUUACCAGCCGGAAGUGUGAGAUGAGUCUCGGCUGAGCCAGGGUCUGGAUGACGGGCUAGCGAGAUGAGUCUCACAUCGCCUGGUACUUGUGAGUCUGAGCCUGACGAGGACGUCAGGGCUUAAAGGAGGGGAGAUUGUGAGACCCCAGAUAGUCCUAUAUAUGAGAUAUAAUAGGGCUAAACUCUUAACCCGGCUUAAGCAUUUUGGGUGGUGGCAAGGCCCAAGAGGUUAAGAGAGUUAAGCGUGCUAGGACGGGAGUAGUCCUAGGAUGGGUGACCCCCUGGGAAGUUGGGGCGUCACAGAUGGUAUCAGAGCCAAUUACCAGCCGGAAGUGUGAGAUGAGUCUCGGCUGAGCCAGGGUCUGGAUGACGGGCUAGCGAGACGAGUCUCACAUCGCCUGGUACUUUGUGAGUCUGAGCCUGACGAGGACGUCAGGGCUUAAAGGAGGGGAGAUUGUGAGACCCCAGAUAGUCCUAUAUAUGAGUUAUAAUAGGGCUAAACUCUUAACUGGGC
rnacentral:lncRNA from 1 species